CUCUUGGCUUGUAAUAGAUAGGGCAUAGCAAGUAAUUUGGUCCAUUUUCCCUUUCCCUUUUGUUUUAAUUAGCAAAUGUAAUGGUUGCAUGCCUAUGUGUUAUAUGUUAAACGCUUUAUUAGGAUUUUGCAUCUAGUCAAGCAUGCUAAGUGUUAUGUGCUACGUGUUUAUAAGUGAAUCGCAUGUCUACUCGCUUUUUGUAGUAUAGAUGAAUGGAAUGGAUGAAUGUACGUCACCACACUAGUCCAGCGCUAGUUGUGGCUUUUUUAUCGUUUCCACUAGUCCAACGCUGGUCGGAAUUCAUAGAAUGGGCUAGUCCAAUGCUAGACCCAAUAGGUUCUUUUUUUCUUUCCUUUUUCAUUAAGUGCAUGAUCACCACAUAUCAUGCAUUUCCUUAGUUUACCAUUUGGCAUGUUUCUCAAACCCCUUCCCCUUCACUUUAGGACUUGCAUCUCAUGCUAGUUAGGGUUCAUUUGCUUGAAAAUCCCCUUCCGAUAAGGGAAACGAGCGAGUGUGGCUACUCGAUAGCCUUAGCACGCUAGUUUCGCCUUCUAAUCAAAGGGAAAAUCGAAGUCGAAAAGUUAGAAGUCAACCCCCGUACCCGACUUGUUGCAUUCCCCUAGGGUCAUACUUUCAUUUUUAUCACUUCCAUACUCUUUUAAUCACAUUUUUCUUAC
rnacentral:lncRNA from 1 species